rnacentral:lncRNA from 1 species
AGCUGAAAGAAAUACAUUAACCACUAAGGGAGACCUCAAGAGAGAGUGCAUAAGAGCAAAAAUGGACAGUUUAUUCUCUCAUCUUGCAAACCAGACCAUAAGCCAAACAACUAAGGUGCCAUCCAAACAUCACUACAACACCACCCUGGUGCUUUAUGGAUGGUUUUGUCAUUAUAUAACAGUGAAAAAUCAUAUAUGGCACACCAGAAGGAAAAAAGACAAUGUUUGAUCCAUAAAGACUUCCUUCUCAAACAGAAGAAAUUCACUAUCCUUAACAGGAUUUGCUACCUGAGAUCAAGCCAGAGAAGGUAACUCCAAGAAGAACACCAUUCACAGAGCAUCCCCCCCAAAAAAUCUUGGUAAUAGUCUCUUGCUUUCUGGAAGGAAAAGUUCCUGCAUAUGAUGCA